AUGCCCACCGCAGCGGGAGAUACCAUGAUGAUCAAGGUGGUUCACCCAAAGGCGAGGCGUACCUUACACCCAGGUUAUGCUGACCCGUCGCAGAAUUCCCCAAAUGUGGGAAUCGACUGCAUAAUUGUGUGGUAGUGAGUGGGGGACUGGUUAGCGCUCU